AUUGAACGCUGGCGGCAUGCCUUACACAUGCAAGUCGAACGGCAGCACGGGAGCAAUCCUGGUGGCGAGUGGCGAACGGGUGAGUAAAGUAUCGGAACGUGCCCAGUCGUGGGGGAUAACGUAGCGAAAGUUACGCUAAUACCGCAUACGAUCUAUGGAUGAAAGCGGGGGAUCGCAAGACCUCGCGCGAUUGGAGCGGCCGAUAUCAGAUUAGGUAGUUGGUGGGGUAAAGGCUCACCAAGCCGACGAUCUGUAGCUGGUCUGAGAGGACGACCAGCCACACUGGGACUGAGACACGGCCCAGACUCCUACGGGAGGCAGGAGUGGGGAAUUUUGGACAGUGGGCGAAAGCCUGAUCCAGCCAUGCCGCGUGCAGGAUGAAGGCCUUCGGGUUGUAAACUGCUUUUGUACGGAACGAAAAGGUUUGGCCUAAUAAGCUGAGCUCAUGACGGUACCGUAAGAAUAAGCACCGGCUAACUACGUGCCAGCCGCCGCAGUAA
rnacentral:rRNA from 1 species